GAUGAACGCUGGCGGCGUGCCUAAUACAUGCAAGUCGAGCGAACGGACGAGAGGCUUGCUUCUCUGAUGUUAGCGGCGGACGGGUGAGUAACACGUGGAUAACCUACCUAUAAGACUGGGAUAACUUCGGGAAACCGGAGCUAAUACCGGAUGAUAUUUUGAACCGCAUGGUUCAAAAGUGAAAGACGGUCUUGCUGUCACUUAUAGAUGGAUCCGCGCUGCAUUAGCUAGUUGGUAAGGUAACGGCUUACCAAGGCAACGAUGCAUAGCCGACCUGAGAGGGGGAUCGGCCACACUGGAACUGAGACACGGUCCAGACUCCUACGGGAGGCAGCAGUAGGGAAUCUUCCGCAAUGGGCGAAAGCCUGACGGAGCAACGCCGCGUGAGUGAUGAAGGUCUUCGGAUCGUAAAACUCUGUUAUUAGGGAAGAACAUAUGUGUAAGUAACUGUGCACAUCUUGACGGUACCUAAUCAGAAAGCCACGGCUAACUACGUG
rnacentral:rRNA from 1 species